ensembl:rRNA 5S_rRNA 5S ribosomal RNA
GAGUAUGGCCAUACCACCCUGAAUGCACCUGAUCUCGUCCAAUCUUCGAAGAUAAGCAGGGUCAGCCCUGAUUAGUACUUGGAUGGGAAACCACCUGGGAAUACCAGGUGCUGUAGGUU